rnacentral:rRNA from 1 species
AUUGAACGCUGGCGGCAUGCCUUACACAUGCAAGUCGAACGGUAACAGGUUAAGCUGACGAGUGGCGAACGGGUGAGUAAUGUAUCGGAACGUGCCCAGUCGUGGGGUAUAACUGCUCGAAAGAGCAGCUAAUACCGCAUACGACCUGAGGGUGAAAGCGGGGGAUCGCAAGACCUCGCGCGAUUGGAGCGGCCGAUAUCAGAUUAGGUAGUUGGUGAGGUAAAGGCUCACCAAGCCGACGAUCUGUAGCUGGUCUGAGAGGACGACCAGCCACACUGGGACUGAGACACGGCCCAGACUCCUACGGGAGGCAGCAGUGGGGAAUUUUGGACAAUGGGCGCAAGCCUGAUCCAGCCAUGCCGCGUGAGGGAAGAAGGCCUUCGGGUUGUAAACCGCUUUUGUCAGGGAAGAAAAGGUUCUGGCUAAUACCUGGGAGUCAUGACGGUACCUGAAGAAUAAGCACCGGCUAACUACGUG